rnacentral:rRNA from 1 species
AUUGAACGCUGGCGGCAGGCCUAACACAUGCAAGUCGAACGGCUGAAGGGAGCUUGCUCCUGGUUUCGGCGGCCGACUGGUGAGUAAUGCCUAGAAACCUGCCUGUUAGUGGGGGCUAACGUCCGGAAACGGGCGCUAAUACCGCAUUCGUCCUGAGGGCGUACGUGGGGGAUCUUCGGACCUCCCGCUAUCAGGUGAGCCUAGGUCGGAUUAGCUAGUUGGUGGGGUAAAGGCCUACCAAGGCGACGAUCCGUAACUGGUCUGAGAGGAUGAUCAGUCACACUGGAACUGAGACACGGUCCAGACUCCUACGGGAGGCAGCAGUGGGGAAUAUUGGACAAUGGGCGAAAGCCUGAUCCAGCCAUGCCGCGUGUGUGAAGAAGGUCUUCGGAUUGUAAAGCACUUUAAGUUGGGAGGAAGGGCAGUAAGUUAAUACCUUGCUGUUUUGACGUUACCAACAGAAUAAGCACCGGCUAACUUCGUG